ensembl:lncRNA
UCACCGUCUCCAUCACCAAAGAGGAAGCGUUUACGCUCCUCCGACGGCGGGCUGAUCCUCUGCUGAAAGUAAGCCGAUUCUCUGAUGUGGAACAUGUCGUUGAUGUCCAUGAGGCAGCGCCAGGCCAACGUAGUCAUCGCUACACCCGUAGGUGGCGCUAGAAACCAUGGAGCGCACUGAGGAGCAGCGGUGAAGAGUGCUUUGGUUGAUGGGACUUAGGAGUUCCUCUUUGUCCAGAGAGGCAAAGCUAAGAGCCUUCAGGAACCUAGGGAGGGCAAGAGGAGAGGUACGUGAGAGGAUCCGGGGGGAGAGACUGGGACAGAAAAAGGAUCAUGAGGAACAAGUGAAAGAAUGUUGGAUAAAAGCAGAGGGACACGGUCUUAGUGAAGAAGGAGGACGUUUGGGAUCACCGCCAGCUAGCAGGCCGGCAGCUUCAGGUAAAACCAGCAGACACACGUGUGCAUCCAAAGUUGGUUUUAGUUGCAAUGUCAGGUACAUCUUUGCACAGCUUCAAAUAAACUCAAGCACCCAAGGCUCAGAAAUCUGGAGCGUUACACAUGAAAAGCACCUAAUUAACAACCAGUAACCUACUAACGCUACGGGAACUACAGCAAAGACACAUUUGUCUCAAUCUGUGCUAGGCGCUGCAUCUCUACUGGGAGGGACACUGCGUAGGUCCACCCACCGCGGUGCAAGUGUUCUGGACAGCCUGCGGUACGGACUUAAGACGGCGGGAUCUGGACAGGUGCCCCUCCUGUCCGAUAUCCUGACAGACGCAGAAAGUGCACAAAAAGAAAACACACUCACACCUGUUAUUGCCAUGUACCCCAGACACAUUGAGUGCUUAAGCUACUUACCUCUGCGGCAAAACAGGCAAUUUAUACCUGGAGCUUUGGGAAGUGUGAUACACAAUUUUCUUCCCUUGCAUUAAACUCAAAAAAAUGAAACAAUAGACUCCAAAGAGAAUUUGGAGAUGAAGACGCAGUUUGCUCAAAUUACGCAAAAAAAGAUUUGUUGUUCAUACACAGCCAUGGCCCUAAAAUUGAGCAACAGAAAACUAUUCCAGCCAAUCAGCAACCGGUGACUUUUGUGCUUGUGCACAGGUCAGGUGAGGGGAAAGGCCAUGGACGCAUGUAGAGAGGCAGUGGAAGCGAGUAGAGGGUUUGAUUUAGUAUCUUUGAUUUAUUUGGGUGUUGAUUUAAAAUAUCAACCAUCUCUCUUCAGAAUCUUUGACUCCACCUUAACAGAUGAAUGUUUCCUCUUCUCACCUGAAGCUUAAGAGUUUCUAUCAAAUAACUAUAAUGGGUAAAAUGCUUCAGUUAACGCAAAGAGAGACUUUAAUGUACAAUGCCAGUAAGGAGUUCUGUCCUUCCACUUUGAGAAUUUGGUGUCCGACAUACAGCACUCACACUAUUUACACCAAAUUGAGUGCUGCCUUCGGCCUCUUCUGUCCCAUUUGUUUCCCCACCUGUUUCUUUCUAACAUGGAUGAGUGAAAGUUAAAACCGUUAUGAGGGAGUUAUGUCCUACAGUAUCUCUACCAUGAUCUCAUCUUUGUACCAUUAAUACUUCUAGGAAGGGUUGCAGCUCUAGAGGAAGGAGCAACUAGCAACUGACCAUCUACAACAGGAACUACAGCAAUGGAAGAACUACCGCGGGUAAAGAGCUACAGCAAAGACACAUUUGUCUAAAUCUGUGCUAGGCGCUGCAUCUCUACUGGGAGGGACACUGCGUAGGUCCACCCACCGCGGUGCAAGUGUUCUGGACAGCCUGCGGUACGGACUUAAGACGGCGGGAUCUGGACAGGUGCCCCUCCUGUCCGAUAUCCUGACAGACGCAGAAGGUGCACAAACAGAAAACACACUCACACCUGUUAUUGCCAAGGUAGAGAAAAAAAAUAAAAAACCUUUCCCCAGGCACACGUCUGCUUAAACUACAGUGGCAACAGUACUUGAGGGGAGAAAAAA